GACUGCAAAUUUACCUAAAAUGAAAUCAAAACAAGAAUUGAUAAUAAACCAAAUCCAGUGUCUCUCUGGAUAGAUAUUCCAUACCAACAGUUCAAACGCAUGAUUUUGCAGCAGUUUUCAAGACUCUUAUACAUCAGUCCGUUGCAGGAACAGAGAGAAACAACACAUCAUUUUUUACAUAAUAAUAAUGCAAAUCUAAAUUCUUGAGGGCAUCAACCCAUGGCAUACUUCUGAGUCCAGCUCCGAGCAGUUUGCUCGUACUUGGCCCUAUCCGUCUUGUACAUAUGAGCAAUCUCCGGCACCAACGGGUCGUCAGGGUUCGGAUCCGUCAGGAGCGAGCAGAUUGAGAGCAACACCUGUCACCACAGACAACAUAGUAUAAGAAACAAAGUAUAAGGUGUUUGGCUAAGCUUAUUUUAGAGAACUUAUAAGACGUUGCACGAGCUUAUAAGCUAGAGAGAGAAAAUCCUAAUUGGAGAGAGAUGAAAUUGAAAGGGCAUAUGAUGAAAAUUUCACUUAUAACAUGUUUAGAAGCUUAUUUUGCCAAACACUUUUCAAGAGCUUAUAAGUUCAACCAAACACCCUCUAAGUCGGAAAUUUCAUUCAGUAGAGGCAUACGGGAACGCUGGUUAGACAAACAUCUGUGUCUCUUAGAAGUGGGAUAGGAAUUCAAGUAAAUCUUACACUUUUUUUUUAUUUGAGGGGAAGUAAAUCUUACACAUUUAAUUGAAUGAGAUUAAUUCAAGUCUAGUUCUUGUGCACAAGUUAUUUUAUUCUCUUGGAAGUUGGAACCAUAAAAUUCACAUUCUAGCUUGUUCUUUUUUCUCUUACUAAUUUCGUCUUCUAGGCAAGAUAUCGUCGGGCAAAGAGAGUUUCCUAAUCCUUUGCAUUUUGUUCCAGUAAAGAAGACACACAACAAAUAGCAGAAGCCACAUAAAUUUGUUAUUUUCAAGAAAGUCAUUUUUCCAUUUUGCAAGCGCAAAUAAGGCAGGCGUGCCAGCCAAACGGCACAUAUCUUGGGACGCAACUGCUUCAACAACUUGGUGGGUGGGGUGGGAGGGGUUGGGGUGGGGCAGGGGGAGGAGAGGAAUGUCCUAUCAAGAUGCUAAGAUGUUCUUAUAAGUUGUAUACGUGUAAUUUUUUUUAAUACUAAAUGACACGAGAAAAAGCACCGACGGAAUACAAAAGUAACCUUAGAUAUUGUCAAGGCGGGGCUCCACUGCUCCUUCAAAAUGUCGAGGCAUAUGCUACCAUUGCUGUUAAUGUUUGGGUGAAAAACCUUUGUCCUGAAUGCAACCUGCAAAAGUUCACCCAUAAGAAUAAUGAGGCAAGUCGGCUACACUCUCAAGCAUGAAAUUGCUCGGAACGUUACAAGAGAAGCCAACUAUAAGCAUUUGUCGCAAAUUCAAUACACAAUUCGGGGAGCUCUUCGUUACUAAUUCAAUUUCCUGCUUUAUUUAGCACUGUAUGCAGUGAUCUACAUAAUACAUAGAAUAUAGACAGAACAUUACGAGAAACUGUCAAGCAGUGGAGACAAAACUGAGAGGGAUGCUUGGAACGCAAAUGAGAUAAAUAUGAUGGUGGUAGGGAAUGGAAAAGGGUAUGGGUUUCAAAACUAUCCCCAAAUUCUUUAAAUCAAUUUUUUUCCUGAAAAGAUUCAAAUCAAGAACAUUAGAUUGUAGAGAAACAACGACCAGACACGCUCAAGAGUCGGGAGAGUUAAGAACAUAAUUCAGAUCCUCGUCAGAUUAUGAUAGCAUCAAACUCUAAAGCUCAAAAUACACAAAGUAUUAGUCUAUUAGACACAUAAAAUAAUCACAUUAAGGGACAUAGAAAAAUAGGCUCGUUGCAAUACAGCGGUCAGAAAACUAAUGGCCAGUAAAGUAUACCAUACAGACAAUUACUUGAGAAUUCCAUGGUAAGCAACCGAACUAAAAUUCAAAAAUCAAGAACAAAGACACGGAGAAUUUUCAUAUAAUGAUGAUUUAACAAUUUCAGAAAGAAUCUAACAAGCCACACCUUCGGAGGCUUGAAAGGGUAAUCGGGGGGGAAAUGAAUAGUGACUAAAAACACUCCUCCCGCAUACGGACUAUCCUGUGGACCCAUUAUCGUUGCCUGCCAGUGAAACAUGUCUUCACCAACAGGUCCUGUUACAACACCAAAUGAGUAUGAUUUCCAACUAGCAACCACAAUAGUUAAAUAAAGAAAAGGUACUUCAUAAAAACACGACUCUGACAUCAAAUGAUUUAUGAAUGGCUUCACAAAGUUGCAAGUUAGAUAUGAUCUGAAAACAGCAUAGCUCCAAUUCAAGUAUCUUAGAACUUUAGCAGCAACCUUGCUAUCAUUAAAACACCUAAAAUUCUAGUCUUUUUCCCCCCCUUUACCUUCUUAGCAGUUGGGCUGGCCUUCUCAACUUCCACUCAACAUCAAUGAUUACAGUUAGCAAAGAUUUUUCAGAAAAUGGUCAAAAACAACAAAAUUAGCCAACCCCACAAGACAUCGUGCCAUCUAAAGAUUAUUUAUCGCAAGAUUUUUACAAGACAAAAUGCAUAAAACAUCCAAAGUAAACUUCUCAAAAAAAAAAAACACAUCUAAAGUAAUAAACCAGGGAAGCCCAGAUGAAAAAAAUGUCAUUUUCUUGCACAUAUACAUUCAAAUGUCAUGGAUCCACCCUUAGAAUUCUCAAUCAGCAAAAAAAAAAAAUCAAUAAUCAACAAAAAACGCAUAUAGACACACAAAAUAAAGCUAAAUUAAAAUUAAGGAAAACCAAAAUUGAGAGAAAGACCUGCGCUGCAAGAAGUCGGGGGAUCCUUCUGCAAAUCCUUGAGCUCCUUCAAGAUCCGUUUGGAAGCCAUCGAAGAAAAAUCCGAUCUUUUGACUAUCUUCGAGAAACCCAGAAAGAAAAAUAAAAUCAAAUUGAGAGAUGUAAACAAGGCAAAAACGCGCAGCGGUUGGUGAGAAUUUUACUUGCCCAGAGAGAAGAGAGAGAGGCGAAGACUUGUUCAGUUGAUUCGCCUUUUUGCUUCUUGUUCAGCUGCCGCUUCUUGAUCUUGACGCGAUGAAACUGAUUUUGAAGAAUAUAGCACUCAAUAUUAAUUAAUUAUUAAUAUAAAAUUAAAAUAUAAGUGCAAGAUUUUACUACUACUUUUUUCCUUCAAAUGAUUGGACUCUUUUCAUUUGAUAUCGGGUUGUCUUGUUUCCCCUCCAAUAAUUUGUUAAUACAGUUCACAAAAUCUAAAAUAAAUAAAAAGAAUGUAAAAUAUGACAUAUUUUAUUUAGUUUGUUGUUAUUUCAAUUAAAUUAAAGCUUUUGCAUAAGAUGAUUUCGUCCAUUUGAGAUAUAUUGACAUUGUACCAUAUUAAUUUAGUGUCUCGCCUUCAAAUUUUUCUAUUUUUACUUAUUAUGUUUUAGUUUAAUUUUAUGAUUAUUAGUUAUGCAAUCCAAUUAUACUAUAUAAUAAUUAUUAUCAUUCAAUUUCACUUUUAUUAAUUAAUUACAGGUUGAUAAAUUUAAAGUCAUGAUAUGUAGUAAUCUUUUAAAUUUUAAAAUUUUAUAAUUCAUAAUAUUAUCCUCCCUUUGUCUCCCUAUUAUUAUCCCACUUAUUAUUUUAGGUUGUCUAAUUAUUAUUGUCCCAUUUUCAUAAAAAGUAAUAAUUAAUUCUUUAUAAGGUGUGAGUCCUACCUACUUUUAACUAAUUUACAUAUUUUUUUUAAAAAAAAUCUAUGUGCCCAAAUGUUUUUGGGACAACGAAAUGGAAGGAGUAAUGAAUAUUAUUUUUAUGAAAAAUAUACUAUUAAAAUUAGUGAUAUAAUAAUAGGAGACGAUACACACAUAAAAAUUGUGGAAUGAUUUUUCAGAAAAAGAGAAUAAAUUAUUUACCCAUCUCCCCAAAAGCAUGUUUUCGGUCAUUUUUGUUGCUAUGUUAUAAAUGAAAAACACAAGAAAAAAAAAUUAACAAGUGAGUAUUGAUAAUAAAAGUAAUAAUUUUUAUACUAAAAAAUAACAAUAGUAAAAAGGAAAUUGCUAUGAAUAAAAGUAGAUUAUACAAAAAAGUAACAAAAUUUUAAUUUAAAGUAACAAAUAUUAUGAUUAAACAUUUAAUAUCUAUUUCUCCUCAAAAAAAAAAAAAAUUACUAGUUAUAAUUGUACUUCGUGAAGCGAUUUUUAAGAUUUCUCUUUAUCCAAUCCAAAAUAAGUGACCUUUAUAAAAGUUUUUUUAAUAAAUGUGACAAUAUUAAUGAAUAAAAGUGAUAGUUUAUAUAUACAAAAAUAAUAGAUUGGAUUGUCCGAUCCGUGCGAUCCUUUUUAGUGAACGCUUCAAAAUUCGGGCCACAAACCAUACUAACCCAUUUCAUAUGCAGAUUGGGCUUUCAAGCAAACACAAAGCAUUGAAAUUGGAGUAAUUCAAAGCAAAAAUAAGACUGCAAAUUUACCUAAAAUGAAAUCAAAACAAGAAUUGAUAUAAACCAAAUUCCAUACCAACAGUUCAAACGCAUGAUUUUGCAGCAGUUUUCAAGACUCUUAUACAUCAGUCCGUUGCAGGAACAGAGAGAAACAACACAUCAUUUUUACAUAAUAAUAAUGCAAAUCUAAAUUCUUGAGGGCAUCAACCCAUGGCAUACUUCUGAGUCCAGCUCCGAGCAGUUUGCUCGUACUUGGCCCUAUCCGUCUUGUACAUAUGAGCGAUCUCCGGCACCAACGGGUCGUCGGGGU
rnacentral:lncRNA from 1 species